GGAAGCUUGCUUCCUAUGAAAUCGAGUGGCAAACGGGUGAGUAACGCGUAAACAACCUGCCCUUCGGAUGGGGAUAACAGCCGGAAACGGCUGCUAAUACCGAAUACGAUCUUUUCGUCGCAUGACGGAAAGAAGAAAGGAUGGCCUCUAUACAAAGCUAUCGCCGAAGGAGGGGUUUGCGUCUGAUUAGCUGGUUGGAGGGGUAACGGCCCAACAAGGCGAUGAUCAGUAGCCGGUCUGAGAGGAUGAACGGCCACAUUGGGACUGAGACACGGCCCAGACUCCUACGGGAGGCAGCAGUGGGGAAUCUUCCGCAAUGGACGAAAGUCUGACGGAGCAACGCCGCGUGAGUGAAGAAGGUCUUCGGAUUGUAAAGCUCUGUUAUACGGGACGAAAAAGACGGAUGCCAACAGUAUCCGUCCGUGACGGUACCGUAAGAGAAAGCCACGGCUAACUACGUGCCAGCAGCCGCGGUAAUACGUAGGUGGCAAGCGUUGUCCGGAAUUAUUGGGCGUAAAGGGCGCGCAGGCGGUUCGGUAAGUCUGUCUUAAAAGUGCGGGGCUUAACCCCGUGAGGGGACGGAAACUGUCGAACUUGAGUGUCGGAGAGGAAAGCGGAAUUCCUAGUGUAGCGGUGAAAUGCGUAGA
rnacentral:rRNA from 1 species